GACGAACGCUGGCGGCGUGCCUAAUACAUGCAAGUCGAACGCAGUGGGGACGGGUGAGUAACAACUGGGUAACCUCCCAUCAGAGGGGAUAACACUUGGAAACUGGUGCUAAACCGAUACUGAUGUAUGGACCCGCGGUGCAUUAGCUAGUUGGUGAGGUAACGGCUCACCAAGGCCACGAUGCAUAGCCGACCUGAGAGGAUGAUCGGCCCCACUGGGACUGAGACACGGCCCAGACUCCUACGGGAGGCAGCAGUAGGGAAUAUUCGGCAAUGGACGCAAGUCUGACCGAGCAACGCAGCGUGGGUGAAGAAGGUUUUCGGGUCGUAAAGCUCUGUUGUUAGAGAAGCGGUAUCUGAACAGAAAGCCACGGCUAACUACGUGCCAGCAGCCGCGGUAAUAC
rnacentral:rRNA from 1 species